GUAUCAGUUGAAGGGCAAUAAAAAAUGAUUACUGAGCCAUGUACAGACCACCCCAGCAUUUUUAAUUACAUAUCAUACAAGGAAAACAUACUUAUAUUUUUCCUGUAUUCAAGAUAAUCUUAUCAGGAUUGUCAGGGAAAAAAAAUAAUACUGCAGUCAAAAGAAUAUUCAAUGCCCCUUCAGGCACUUUUUCAGAAUUCAGAGUGUUGGCACAUAUUUAAAAACCAAAUACAGGAGAAAUACAUAACUUAAAGAGCUCAGGUGCUAAGUUAGCAGAGGCUGAGAAAAAGAAUGAGUCAGGGAACUGCUUCUCCAGAAUGCGACCCAGCCUUUAGCCCCAACUUUUCCAACUCUUGUCAAUGCGCUGAAGCCUGGUGUUGAUGUUAAAAUCAUCUGACAACUUGUAACUCAACUAUAAGCAGUUAGACAUAAGCUACAAGUGUCUAUUUUUACACACCAGUAGCAAUUCCCCCAGGAACCCCAGCUUUCCUUUCAGCUUGCUCUGCUGUCAUCCCCAAGAACCAUUUCCUCCUAUGGAUGUUCUAUUCUCUUGUUGGAUGCCUUUAGAAAGUUGCCUUCCAGUUCCUAAUUACCUCAAGCAGCUGCCUAAUGCAGCUUCCAGGCUCAAACCACUGUGGAGUAUCCAUUUUAACACUCAGCACUAUCACUGACUGGCGUCGAGAGAGGGAUUGCUUCUGUGCCUGUCAGGAAAACAACAGUUGCUAUAUUCAUUGGCCUCCCAGGAAACUACGAUGCCUUGCCAUUGUGCACAGGAUUUUCCCCCAGGGGCUCCGGCUGAUGAGCCAUCCGGCACACCAAAGAGGAAUGGCUUUAUUCUACCCUCUGCUCUCCUUGGCAGGGGUUACAUCAUUUGCUCAAGUACCAUCAUCAACAAGUCUCUAUAUACACUGCCUACAGAAAAAAAUUUUAUAAGCCAAAAGCAGUUAUGACAAAUACUACUAAGACAACAUUCUCUGGGUAACACAACAGAGAAUGUUGGGUACCCAGCUCCCAAGCCAUGGCUUACUCAUUUCAGGCAUGAUUCCAAUUACCAAAAAAACUCAAUAAAGACUUGAGAGUUAAGUAAUCCCUUGAUUGGACUGGAAUUCAUCUAUUAAAUAACCUGUAAUGUGCAUUUUGACAUAAGAGGGUGGGGUCUUCACAGCAACAGCAAUGGUGUUUGCUGCCAGGCAUCAGCUUGCCCGCAUUUUAUAAAAAAGGAAGGUACAUCACUGACUCUUUGUUUCCACACAUACACACACACACAAUAGAAAAGUUGCCAAAAGGGGAAAAAAAGAAAUUAUUAAGAGAGGAAAGAUAUUCUUAUGGGAUUUGGCUCUCAUCAUUAAAGAAAAAUCAACAUUUUGCCUGUAUUGCUGGUGGCAGUUCAUAUGCAGGUGCCAUUUAAUUUGAAACCUAUUUUUAAGAAGUAGUUGAUUAUUGCCUAGUGUUUCAAAUUCACUCUUCAACUAUCUCUUACUUUCUUUUCACUAAUGGUUUCAGAAAAUAAUCCAGUGUCGGGAGAAAGUAUUGAAAGGUCAGGAUUGUUUAAUGAGAAUAAGCAUGCAAAAUGGUUUUCCAAUUUGAGACCAUAAGUGUAUUGGAUGCUACCAUUUCUCCCUUAAGGCAUCUGUUAAGAUCAACCUUCCAACAUUGAGGUCUCCAAAAAGUGAGCUUACUUUGAUGACCUGAAUGCCAAGGUCGUUAGGAGUCUAUUAUAUCAAUGAAUGAAAGAACACUGAACAUGUUGCUGCAAGAUCUGUGGUUGAGGCCUGGUGCCUCUAUUCAAGAUAUUUAAUCUUGGAGUUCCCACUGUGUCUCAGUAGGUUAAGAAUUCAACAUAGUGUCCAUGAGGAUGUGAGCAGAAUCUCCCCUGGCUUCACUCAGCAGGUUAAGGAUCCCAUUGCCAAAAGCUGUGGCAUAAGUCACAGAGGCAGCCUGGAUCUGGCAUUAUUGUGGUUGUGGCGUAGGCCCCAGCUGCAUCUUCAAUUCAACCCCUAGCCAGAGGACUUCCAUAUGCCACAGGUGUGGCUAUAGAAAGAAACACACACACACACACACACACACACACACACACAAGAUACUUUGGAGUUCCUGUCGUGCUGAGUGGUUAAUGAAUCCGAUUAGGAACGAUGAGGUUGCAGGUUCAAUCCCUGGCCUUGCUUAGUGGGUUAAGGAUCCGGCAUUGCCGCGAGCUGUGGUGUAGGUCGCAGAUGUGGCUCGGAUCCCACGUUGCUGUGGCUCUGGUGUAGGCCAGUGGCUACAGCUCUGAUUCAACCCUUAGCCUGGGAACCUCCAUAUGCUGCAGGAGCGGCCUAAGAAAAUGGCAAAAAGACCAAAAAAAAUAAAAAGAUACUUAAUCUUCCUGAGACUCAGUGUUCUCAUUCGUAAAAUUAAGGACCAGAACUGCCACCUCUCACCUCCACUUCAGCCCUUUUCCAUAAUUCCUCACUAAGACACCGCAGAUGGCAGGGUUCUGGUGGGAAGAGGAAACAGAAAGAAGGGACGUGAGAGUACACACAAGGGCCCUAGUUACUGAGCACCUUCCAAGAGGUCGCUUUUUCUUCAUUAAUCUCUUAUCUGAUUUUCACCAAGGGGGUGCAAUGAUUCACAGGGAAAUAGGAUUCUACACUCUUGAAUAUGUAGGAGGAGCUUAUGUACGUGAACUGAGGAGCCCAAACGUUUUCAUAAGCUUUCGGUCAUAAUAGAACUAGCUCUCUUUUCUGUGGAAGUACGGAAUCUCUUACAAAUACCUCUAACACACACACUUUGUGAUACAGGCUUCAACGAGAUACACAAUGAUAUGUAUCUGAGAAAUGCCUGUCUGAGGCAAGGGUAAACUGCUACAGCCUAGACAGGACUAAACUUCUGAAGCUGCAGCAUCUUCAGCUGAGGUCCCACUAGCACUGAACCAUCCAGAGGCAGAGGAUCAUGCAAAUUCAUAAGACAAAACGGGGUGGAGAAAGAGGAAGGGAGAGAGAAAAAGAAAGAAAGAGGGAGGUAGAGAGAGAGGAGAAAAACAUAGGAGAGAGAGAGAAGUGAGAGAGCAGAAAGGAGAGAGAAAAGGGAGUUAUAGAAGAGAUGGAGACAGAAAGAAGAGAGGAAGAGAAGGAGAAAGAAAGAGAUACUGGGAGAGUAGGGAGCAAGCCUACUUGCUGAUUAAAGAAGAAAGAUUAAGGAAGUGCUUGUUUGGCUAUUAGGUUAUAUUUUUACCUAUAGACUUUUUGUUUUCAUUUUUCUAUCCACUAUAAUCCUCUAUUCUGUAUCCUAUCUUGUUCCCCUGGUGAGGCAAUAGUAAACAGUAUCUUAGGCUUUUUCACUGUUGUUAAUGAUAAAUACUAAGACUGUUCACCAAUAUACCAGAUCUUCCAUCAGGCCAGGGUGAGACUGCACUGUCAUGCUCCCUUGAAAAGGAGCAGAGACAGUGAUUUGUUUUGUCAAGGGAACAUGAGUAAAAAUAACAUGUAUUGCUUUGGGGCAAAAACCAUUAGGAGACAUUUUUUUUUUUUUUUUUUUUUUUUUUUUUUUUGCAGGUUUCUUUCUUCCCACAAAUAUGAUCAACAAAUCUCCAAACAUUGGAGGCUUCAUCAGUCUGGGUCUGGAUUGAGAAAAACCUGGAACAGAGUCUCCAGCUAUCUAUAGUGAACAUGUGUGUGUAGAAAUAAAAAUUUGUUGUUUUAAGCCACUAAGACCCAGGAGUUCUUCUUAUUGCAGCAUAACCUAGCUUAACCUGAUUGAUACAUUGUUGUUAUUACUGAUUAUUAUUAAAGGCUGUCAGAUACUGUUGUUUAUAGCGUAAUUUCACAAAAUAUAAAAUUUGUGAAGUUUAAAUAAAUAAUACAGUUUUUUCAAAGAGUGGGUUCUGUUCACAAGGAGUUCUUAUGAUCUUCUUCUGGGUAUAGAGUUUCCCAGUUGCAGUUUCAUUUAAACAGAAUUUUCUGUAUAUCUAUUACACACUGGGUCUGAGAGGAAAUGUUGAUUAGUAAAAAACAGAGAAAUGCUUUUGCCUCCAUCAUAGAUUUUUCAGGAAUUACUAUUAGUGAAUAAUUUUAAUGAGUAUAUAACAGCUGUAAACUUGUCAGAAAUAGACACUAGAAAAAUAAAAUUAUUGUUGUUGUGAUUAUUUUAUCAUCUCCAAUACCCUGCAGCUAAGCGCUCAAUGAUUUUUUAACACCAAAUAAAACCCAGCCAGUUCAAAGCAGGUUUAAUAAACCUAAUAAUCCUGUGAAGUUGAAUCUGUGGAAACAACUAGAUUGAUCCAAAAGCAUUUUUUAGGUGAGCAUUUUUAGCAAAAGGAAUUAAAUACUGGAGAAUGUGGCCAUAAACAAAUGUUACCUAACUUUUACUGAACAAAGCCUCAUCCAGCUGUUGGUAACUUUAGUGCAAAUAUAUAAUCUAUAAAGUCAUCUUUUGUUCCAUAGUCCGAAAAGCAUGGCUUUUCUCUGCAUACUUAGUCUGUAACUACUAAAUAUGAGGGAGGUAUCCUCACAAGGUGUGGAUUAGAUUAGCCACUUUAACCUCCACCUCAUUCUCCAUGUUCUGGAAACAUCCCGGGAGAAAUAUAAUACCAGCCCUCAAUCUAGUAAAAACUUCCUAAAUUUGAAGUGUUGCUGGAUAUAAGAAUAAAGUCAAAGAACAGAAAUGAUGUCAUUCUUCAAUUCAGGUAGAAGGACAACAGAGAAAAUAGACUAGAAAUAGCCUGUCAAAAACAAAGAAAUUUGACAAGGAUAGAUCAAGCAGAGAAGGAAGCAUUAUAUUCAUUUCUUUCCAUGUCCAGAAGGAUUGCUGGUGAUGAACUGAAUAGGAUCCCAUUUUAAAGAAAGUGUCCCAGACCUACAUCAAACCAUAUCAGCAAGCACAUCCUACAUUAAACGGACUUAGAAGUUAAAACAGCCUGGUGAUAUAUUAAUUCCAGUAUAAAAUAAAAUCCACAUACAUUAUUUCUUAACAAAUCAUUUUUCCUUUAAGGACUCCUUUUUUUUUCCUUUUUUUUUUUUUUUUUUUUGGAAAUGUCUGUAAAUCAUUUGUCAUAAAGAACCGCUGUCUCCAGAAACUCCAGAAAAUUCUCCACUCCAUCAUAAUCACAACUUAAGGACUCAAAGUAUCUUUAGAAAACAGGCAGACACAGUAACGGAAGCUAUAAGGAAUAAACAAAAAAAAUCAACAGGAGUUCCCAUCGUGGCGCAGUGGUUAACGAAUCCGACUAAGCACCAUGAGGUUGCGGGUUCGGUCCCUGCCCUUGCUCAGUGGGUUGACGAUCUGUCGUUGCCACGAGCUGUGGUGCAGGUUGCAGAUGCGGCUCGGAUCCCACGUUGCUGUGGCUCUGGUGUGGGCUGGUGGCUACAGCUCCGAUUCGACCCCUAGCCUGGGAAUCUCCAUAUGCCACAGGAGCGGCCCAAGAAACAGCAAAAAGCCAAAAAGCCAAAAAACAAAACAAAACAAAACAAA
rnacentral:lncRNA from 1 species